AGGGGUCAGCCCCACCAGCCUUUCUGCCACCUGCGCGCUGCAGGGCUCAGCCCACAGGCUGCAGGGCCAGAACGGCCACCGCCCUCAGCAGAUGCUAGGGCUGGGGUGACCAAGGGCACCAGCCAGCUGCGCUGGGAGGCCCCUCCUCACCCCUGCUGCCGACUGGAGCCAUAAAUCAAAGUGGGGGGAUGCCAGAAGAAAAAGAAGAAAGGCAGAGCAGUCACGCUCACCCCCCACCCCCAGGCUGAACAAUUAAAGACAACGGCAGCCAGUGGGGUGAAGCCAGUAUUUCCUGUUCCAUCUGCAGCCUGUUCUUACCGCCCACAUGUAGCCAAGCCUUCCUGCGGGUUGCAUCUUCCUGAGGGCACGGGGCCCAACAGCCCCUAAGAUCCUCCGUUGUGGAUUCAGGAAGGACGCCCCGCUGGACCCCCGGCAGCACAUAGCGUGGGGAGUAGAAGGCGGGCUGGAGUCUACAGCUCCCACUGGCCAACACCGUGUGACCCACAGUGGGAGCUGGGACCGUGGGGGACCCUUUAUUCACACUUUCCGUAACGCUGUAUCUCUUUUAUAGCGUGAAUUGGUAUUGACUAAAUCAAACAAAGUAAUAGAGAAA